UAGGGAAUAUUGCUCAAUGGGCGAAAGCCUGAAGCAGCAACGCCGCGUGGAGGAUGAAGGUCUUAGGAUUGUAAACUCCUUUUGUGAGAGAAGAUUAUGACGGUAUCUCACGAAUAAGCACCGGCUAACUCCGUGCCAGCAGCCGCGGUAAUACGGAGGGUGCAAGCGUUACUCGGAAUCACUGGGCGUAAAGAGCGCGUAGGCGGGGUGGUAAGUCAGAUGUGAAAUCCUGUAGCUUAACUACAGAACUGCAUUUGAAACUACCACUCUAGAGUAUGGGAGAGGUAGGUGGAAUUCUUGGUGUAGGGGUAAAAUCCGUAGAGAUCAAGAGGAAUACUCAUUGCGAAGGCGACCUGCUGGAACAUUACUGACGCUGAUGCGCGAAAGCGUGGGGAGCAAACAG
rnacentral:rRNA from 1 species